rnacentral:rRNA from 1 species
GACGAACGCUGGCGGCGUGCUUAACACAUGCAAGUCGAACGGAAAGGCCCUGCUUUUGUGGGGUGCUCGAGUGGCGAACGGGUGCGUAACACGUGAGUAACCUGCCCUUGACUUUGGGAUAACUUCACGAAACUGGGGCUAAUACCGGAUAGGAGCUCCUGCUGCAUGGUGGGGGUUGGAAAGUUUCGGCGGUUGGGGAUGGACUCGCGGCUUAUCAGCUUGUUGGUGGGGUAGUGGCUUACCAAGCCUUUGACGGGUAGCCGGCCUGAGAGGGUGACCGGCGUCAUUGGGACUGAGAGACGGCGCAGACUGCUACGGGAGGCAGCAGUGGGGAACAUUGCACAAUGGGCGGAAGCCUGAGGCAGCAACGCCGCGUGCGGGAUGACGGCCUUCGGGUUGUAAACCGCUUUCGCCUGUGACGAAGCGUGAGUGACGGUAAUGGGUAAAGAAGCACCGGCUAACUACGUG